rnacentral:rRNA from 1 species
UACGUAGGGGGCUAGCGUUGUCCGGAAUCAUUGGGCGUAAAGCGCGUGUAGGCGGCCCGGUAAGUCCGCUGUGAAAGUCGAGGGCUCAACCCUCGAAUGCCGGUGGAUACUGUCGGGCUUGAGUGCGGGAGAGGCGAGUGGAAUUCCUGGUGUAGCGGUGAAAUGCGCAGAUAUCAGGAGGAACACCGAUUGCGAAGGCAGCUCGCUGGAACGUUACUGACGCUGAGACGCGAAAGCGUGGGGAGCAAACAGG